AGCGAACGCUGGCGGCAGGCUUAACACAUGCAAGUCGAGCGCCCCGCAAGGGGAGCGGCAGACGGGUGAGUAACACGUGGGAACGUACCCUUUGGUUCGGAACAACCCAGGGAAACUUGGGCUAAUACCGGAUAAGUCCGCGAGGAGAAAGAUUUAUCGCCGAAGGAUCGGCCCGCGUCUGAUUAGCUAGUUGGUGUGGUAACGGCGCACCAAGGCGACGAUCAGUAGCUGGUCUGAGAGGAUGAUCAGCCACACUGGGACUGAGACACGGCCCAGACUCCUAGGGGAGGGAGAAGUGGGGAAAAUUGGACAAUGGGGGCAACCCUAACCCAGCCGGGGCGGGGGAGUGAUGAAGGCCCUAGGGUUGAAAAGCUCUUUGGGUGGGGAAGAUAAUGCGGGUACCCAAAGAAAAAGCCCCGGCAAACUUCGU
rnacentral:rRNA from 1 species